GCCUCUCCACCCCUUAAAACUGUCUGAACCUCCUUCCACCCCAAAAACCCUAAAGGCCCCCUCAUUCAGUCUCUCAUCUCUCUCACUCUAACUAACCCUAGCCGCCCCAAACCCUUCAUUGUCUCCGCCGUCCUCCGCCGUUCAGAAAUCGCCUCACAGUGGAAGACCACCUCCAAUCCCACCCAAAUUCACACCAGACAACCAUCACAAUUUCCUCAUCUCGUAUCUACCAUCGAUUUCCCUAAAAUACCCACCCAUCUUCUCCAAUUUCAGAUAUAAAAAUAUAGAAAAACCUAAUCUUUCCUUCUUCUGAUUUCAUUGGCGGUACCAACUCGUUUUGGCCUAAAACGUAUGUUAAUCGAUUUCUCUUGUCAAGAGCAAUCGAUUAACAUUAGUUUCGGCUCAUUUCAAAGUCGUCAAAAUUUUACCAAAUCACCACUGACCGGCCAAACUUCGUCGUCAUCACCGUUCGUUGGCUUACCUCAUUCAUCAUCACGUUCUCGGCCAAAAUCAGUAUACCUUUCUCCUCAUAACACUUUGUUUCUUUUUCUAUUUUUGAAUUGUCAUUUAGGUGUUAAUCUUGAUUAGUUUGGUUAUUGAUUCGUUUAAUUUUAGUAGAAAUAGGUUUAUUUAGUUAAUUGCAUUGUUUAGUUUAAUUACAUGUGUUUAGGCUAAUUAAAUCAACUUUAGUCAACUCAGUAGAUUAGUUAGGUUUUAAUUAAUGGAUUGUUUCUGUUUUGGUUUAUCUCUGAUUUUUACCUUAAUUAUUUGAGUUUAGAGGUUUGAAUGCCAAUUGGAAAUUAGGAGGGUGAACGGGUAAUAAACAGAACUUGAAGGGGUUAAUUUGGAAGAAAAAAUGGAUACACUUUAGGUAAAAAUAUUAGAAAGUUCUAGUAUUGGACAGUUGUCCCUCUUUUUGGCGUGAAAAUGCUGAAAUUGGGUAAAAGGACAUACAACUGUACCAAAUCUACUAAAAAAAGAUGUUGUACUAUCCUAUUUUACAACUGACAUUUUCUGAUUUUUAGGGUAGAAUAUUCCCUAUUAUGCUUAUCUUUGUGCAUUGUAUAUACAGAACAGACUCUCACUCACUCAUAAAGACAUUCUAAUCAGCACACUCACUCUAAAAAGCAUCCUUGAAUACUGAUUUUUGAUUUGUCUCUUCAGUUUUUCUUUUAGUGGGAUAUAGAAACGGAAAAACCAAAAAAACAAUUCUCAAGGUUGUAUGUCUUUUCCUGCUGAUUCACUCCAUUAUGCUGGGAAUUUGUGUUUGAUUGUGGGUUCCUGUUUCUUGCUGGUUGUUGUUGUUUUUUUCUGCUAUUCUUUGCUAUUUGCUUCUUUUUCAAAGCUAGAGAUUUGUUUUCUAUUCUAGUCUAUCUUGCUAUAAUCAGGUACUCAUCUUAAAUCUAAGUUUCUGUUUUGGCAUGAAUGAGUUGAUUUCUUUAUUUGUUCCAUUAAAUCCUGAUCCUCCAUCAUCACUUGCUGAUUUUCCUUAUGUUUAGCAUGUUAAUCAAUAGAUCUUAUUUCAGUUAAACUCAUGAGUGUUGCUCUGUUUAUUUGGUGUGAAAAAUGGAAAAAAGCAUGACUCCAUUACUCUACUAUUUGAUUACUUGAAUUGAUAUGUUUAUUUUUGUAACUUUGAGUAUAUUUCUGAGUUAAAUGUCAUGUUGUGAAUUAGUUGAUUAUAACAUGGGAGCUGAUCUAGAUUGUUUAACUCUAAACAUUAGCUUAAAUAGCCUUUAAUAAUAUCUGAAGCAUGUAAUAUCAAUUAUUAAUUUUUUUAAGUUUGAAUACUGUUUCAGCCCUGUUUUAGACCAUGCAGAUUCAGUUCAAAAGAGUUUUUACUGUAGUGUUGGUUUAUGUGGAUUUGUGUUGGAGUUUGGAAUGUAAAAGAGAUGGUUUGUCACUGGAUAUGUGGCUAUGGCUUGCUAAUCUUACCACCAGUUGGGUCAGAUUGGUGAACUCUAAAGCUAAAGGAUGCAUUUGGAGUCAUCUAUGGAGGGAGAUUAAGUAGAAGAUUGACUAUUCUAUGAACCAUUCUUGUAUAAAUUUUAAAGUUAUAUUUGUUACUGUAUUACCAGAUCUGUAAAUAUUAGAAUAUAGUUGAUUUGUUAUGUUAACUCAAAGGGGUCAGUUUGUCCAUUUUCAC
rnacentral:lncRNA from 1 species